GUUUAUUGAUUAGUUACGUGAUAAUUGUGUGAAAUCCGAUUAAUGCAAUCAUUAGCAUGUGAUGGUUCAAGAAAUAUGUGGUAACAGACAGAAAGGAGCUAAUAUUAUAGAACUACAGGCUAUUAGAAGUUGCUGCUAUAGGAAAUGCAGCUCCCAUUCAAUUAUAACAAAUCAAUGUAUUGGCUGACUUUUCCAGACAGGUUGAAAUCACCAAUCCAAGCUGAUAUUCCUGGAAAUGUAAAGCUUAUCAAUGUACUCUAUAACUGGAAGCGAUGCAUUGAUGUACCUUCUCAUUUGCUUCUCUGCAGACUUAUCAGUUUCACUGAGCUUCAGCAAAAGUUGGUCUCUUGAAGGGAGAGUAUACAUUCCGGCAUAAACGGCUGUCCUGACUGCCCAUGUGUGGUACGGUGCACAAACUUGUGCAUAAGCCGUUGUAGCUGCAUCCUUCAAAGAGUAAUCAUCGGUGGCCAGAAACUGCUCAAAUAAAGCUCUGAUGAGAUCAAGACCCUGCCUGACUCUGCGUAAAUUACGAGAAUGACUGCCUGGUGUCCUCACUGUGCCAUUUGCAACAUCCAUAUCAAGUAUAUUUUGCAAAGUUUUGUGUCUCUUCGAUGCUUCAACAAGAGUGCCCACCUUUGAGACAUACUCAGACUCGGCGAAUUUGAAAGCGAGACCGAGACAGCUGAAGAGAACAGAAACCAGGGAGCAAGAAUCACAGAACAUAUCCAAUCGAAGCUCUCCGGGACCGACAUCAUUAUCUUGAUCCGUAAUGGGUUUUAGACGCUUGGCUAGGUCCUCAAAGGCAUCAACAACCGCAGACAACGGCGUUUGUCCUCUGGCGUUUGCUUCAGCAGAGGCAGCUGUCAUGGCGGGAUCUUGAAGAACGAGUUGUGGGGGUGGUGAAUGAGGUGGUUCUUGCAGGGCUUGGGUUAGAUUGGAAUUAGAGAAAUACCUCCUCAUGGCGGAUUUGAAAUUUGAUGCAAGGAAUCAUCAAAUUGAAUGAAAGUUGAAAAGGUCAAAAGAAAGUGGAAUUGGAAAAUUGAAUGGGAACAUGAGGAGAAAGGAUCUAGGUGUGGUUUCUUCUUGGGUGCUUCUUUUUCCAUGCAUGUGUUAUCUUUGGAUAGGAAUAAAAAU
rnacentral:misc_RNA from 1 species